GCUUCGCAGCUACCAUGCAGUCGAGGGGUAACGGGAAGUGCUUGCACUUUGCCGACGACCGGCGCACGGGUGCGGAACGCGUAUGGAACCUGCCCCUGUCAGGGGAAUAGCCCAGAGAAAUUUGGAUUAAUGCCCCAUGGUAUCCCAUCACCACAUGGUGUAGGGAUUAAAGAUUUAUCGGACAGGGAUGGCCAUGCGUACCAUUAGCUUGUUGGUGAGGUAACGGCUUACCAAGGCAACGAUGGUUAGGGGCCCUGAGAGGGGGAUCCCCCACACUGGUACUGAGACACGGACCAGACUCCUACGGGAGGCAGCAGUGAGGAAUAUUGGACAAUGGGCGGGAGCCUGAUCCAGCCAUGCCGCGUGCAGGAUGACUGCCCUAUGGGUUGUAAACUGCUUUUAUACGGGAAGAAACUUUGUCCACGUGUGGGACAGCUGACGGUACCUUUGGAAUGAGGACCGGCACCCC
rnacentral:rRNA from 1 species